rnacentral:lncRNA from 10 species
CCGAAUUCCUAGUUUUUCUCUCCCUCUCCCUUGCUUCUUCAUUUUCUUCCUUCAGGCUUUCUUCCAUUUCUUUCUUCCAUCAAAUAUUUGUGGAGCUGGAACUGGGCUUCACUAUCAUAUUCCAAGGCCCUGUACUGGGAACAGACAAAGAAGCUCCUCCCAGAGACUGGAAGAAUGGUACAAGGUGUGAAAACCAAGGCUUAAAGCAUGCAAGUUAUUUGCCCGAGGUUUUUCAGCCACAAAUGAAGAAGCUGGGUCUGCUCCACACCUGUGAACCAGGCUAUUUCCACCAUAACCUGAACUCAGAUGAGCACCAGCCCAUGGAGAAUAGUCCAGAAGGCUGCCCAUAGCCUUAAAGGACAGUCAGCCUCACAAAAUGAGUGUUAUAUUCUGGAUUAUCAGAAGAGAAAUGUGAGAUGCAGGCAGGUUGAGAAAAUUGCUCCAAGUCACUUCGGGAAUGUGUGCAUGGACAAGGAAGCAGGAAGAUCCCAAGGAAAAAGAAGCAGCAUGAAAAAUGACAAGAAGACUACAACAGAAGUUUCUACGAACUUUGCACACACAGAAGAGGGUUCUUUUAGUUUUAGUCAGGAUAGGAAAAGGACAAAAUAAAAGUGAACAUUU